rnacentral:rRNA from 1 species
GACGAACGCUGGCGGCGUGCUUAACACAUGCAAGUCGAACGGAAAGGCCCUGCUUUUGUGGGGUGCUCGAGUGGCGAACGGGUGAGUAACACGUGAGUAACCUGCCCUUGACUUUGGGAUAACUUCAGGAAACUGGGGCUAAUACCGGAUAGGAGCUCCUGCUGCAUGGUGGGGGUUGGAAAGUUUCGGCGGUUGGGGAUGGACUCGCGGCUUAUCAGCUUGUUGGUGGGGUAGUGGCUUACCAAGGCUUUGACGGGUAGCCGGCCUGAGAGGGUGACCGGCCACAUUGGGACUGGGAUACGGCCCAGACUCCUACGGGAGGCAGCAGUGGGGAAUAUUGCACAAUGGGCGGAAGCCUGAUGCAGCAACGCCGCGUGCGGGAUGACGGCCUUCGGGUUGUAAACCGCUUUCUCCUGUGACGAAGCGUGAGUGACGGUAAUGGGUAAAGAAGCACCGGCUAACUACGUG